rnacentral:rRNA from 1 species
AACGAACGCUGGCGGCAUGCCUAACACAUGCAAGUCGAACGAGACCUUCGGGUCUAGUGGCGCACGGGUGCGUAACGCGUGGGAACCUGCCUUUAGGUUCGGAAUAACUCAGAGAAAUUUGAGCUAAUACCGGAUAAUGUCUUCGGACCAAAGAUUUAUCGCCUUUAGAUGGGCCCGCGUAAGAUUAGCUAGUUGGUGGGGUAAAAGGCCUACCAAGGCGACGAUCUUUAGCUGGUCUGAGAGGAUGAUCAGCCACACUGGGACUGAGACACGGCCCAGACUCCUACGGGAGGCAGCAGUGGGGAA